rnacentral:rRNA from 1 species
CCUACGGGCGGCAGCAGUGGGGAAUAUUGCGCAAUGGGCGAAAGCCUGACGCAGCGACGCCGCGUGAGGGAUGAAGGUCUUCGGAUCGUAAACCUCUGUCAGCAGGGAAGAACGGUCACUGUGCUAAUCAGCAGUGAAUUGACGGUACCUGCAAAGGAAGCACCGGCUAACUCCGUGCCAGCAGCCGCGGUAAUACGGAGGGUGCGAGCGUUAAUCGGAAUUACUGGGCGUAAAGCGCUCGUAGGCGGUAUGUCAAGUCAAGGGUGAAAUCCCCGCGCUCAACGUGGGAACUGCAUUUGAAACUGGCAAACUGGAGUGUGUGAGAGGAUAGUGGAAUUCCAGGUGUAGGAGUGAAAUGCGUAGAUAUCUGGAGGAACAUCAGUGGCGAAGGCGACUAUCUGGCACAUAACUGACGCUGAGGAGCGAAAGCGUGGGUAGCAAACAGGAUUAGAUACCCUGGUAGUC